UAAAGAACUUUUAUAUUUAAUACUAGAACAC
rnacentral:piRNA from 1 species